rnacentral:tRNA from 1 species
GCCCUGGUGGUGGAACUGGUAGACACGCAGGACUUAAAAUCCUGUCUGCAGCAAUGCGGGUGCGGGUUCAACUCCCGCCUGGGGCACUA